CGGCGUGGCAGCGCGAUCGCCCGGCGGCCUCGGCCGUCCGGGAGGAAAGUCCGAGCACGGCAGGACACGGUGGUGGGUAACGCCCACCCGCCCGCGGGUCGCGGGCGCGGGACAGUGCCACAGAGAACACACCGCCGAUGGCCCGGGCGACCGGGAUCAGGCAAGGGUGAAAAGGUGCGGUAAGAGCGCACCGCCGGGCCGGCGACGGCCCGGGCAUGGCAAACCCCACCGCGUGCAAGGUCCAGCAGUCUCCGCGGCGGCCGAAAGGUCGCCGACGCCCGGUCCGGGCGGCAGGAGGCGGGUAGACCGCUCGAGCCCCGGCGCAAGCCGCGGCCCAGAGAAAUGAUCGCGCCACGCGGCAGGUCUGAGCCCGAGCCCCCGUCAAUGGAUCCCGGGCGAGGAAACCGCCGCGCGGACGGAACUCGGCUUACAUGCCACGCCCGACCU
rnacentral:RNase_P_RNA from 1 species